AGCGGAAAGGCCCUUCGGGGUACUCGAGCGGCGAACGGGUGAGUAACACGUGAGCAACCUGCCCCAGGCUUUGGGAUAACCCCGGGAAACCGGGGCUAAUACCGAAUAUGACUUCUGACCGCAUGGUUGGUGGUGGAAAGUUUUUCGGCUUGGGAUGGGCUCGCGGCCUAUCAGCUUGUUGGUGGGGUGAUGGCCUACCAAGGCGACGACGGGUAGCCGGCCUGAGAGGGCGACCGGCCACACUGGGACUGAGACACGGCCCAGACUCCUACGGGAGGCAGCAGUGGGGAAUAUUGCACAAUGGGCGGAAGCCUGAUGCAGCGACGCCGCGUGAGGGAUGACGGCCUUCGGGUUGUAAACCUCUUUCAGCAGGGACGAAGCGUAAGUGACGGUACCUGCAGAAGAAGCGCCGGCCAACUACGUGCCAGCAGCCGCGGUAAGACGUAGGGCGCGAGCGUUGUCCGGAUUUAUUGGGCGUAAAGAGCUCGUAGGCGGCUUGUCGCGUCGACCGUGAAAACCUGGGGCUCAACCCCAGGCCUGCGGUCGAUACGGGCAGGCUAGAGUUCGGUAGGGGAGACUGGAAUUCCUGGUGUAGCGGUGAAAUGCGCAGAUAUCAGGAGGAACACCGGUGGCGAAGGCGGGUCUCUGGGCCGAUACUGACGCUGAGGAGCGAAAGCGUGGGGAGCGAACAGGAUUAGAUACCCUGGUAGUCCACGCUGUAAACGUUGGGCGCUAGGUGUGGGGGGCCUCUCCGGUUCCCUGUGCCGCAGCUAACGCAUUAAGCG
rnacentral:rRNA from 1 species